AUUAUAUAAUUGUAGCCAAAUCAUGUCAUCUGACCGCUCUCCCUCUGGGCCUAAUCCCCCCCCAUCCACUGGGGACCCCAGCUUACCAGCCAUGAGUGCACAGGCCCUGGAGCUACAACGCUCAGUGUCUAGUGCUAUUAUUGAGGCAAUGGG